UGCCAGCAGCCGCGGUAAUACGGAGGGUGCGAGCGUUAUCCGGAAUUACUGGGUUUAAAGGGUGCGUAGGCGGCGUUAUAAGUCAGAGGUGAAAGGCACGAGCUCAACUGGUGAAUUGCCUUUGAUACUGUAAUGCUUGAAUUGUGUUGAGGAUAGCGGAGUGUGACAUGUAGCGGUGAAAUGCAUAGAUAUGUCAUAGAACACCAAUUGCGUAGGCAGCUAUCUAGGCAUUAAUUGACGCUGAGGCACGAAAGCGUGGGGAGCGAACAGGAUUAGAUA
rnacentral:rRNA from 1 species